GUGAUUAAAUCGAGCGUGUCUUCAUUGACUGCUCACCCUUCUCACCAUCCACAUACACCUGUGCACUGUUUAGCCUGAGCCGGUUUUCCGGUCCAGGUUAUCAUUUCAUACAAACUCUAGUCUUAUGAAUGUAAACGUUUUAAUAACAUAAUA
rnacentral:misc_RNA from 1 species